AAAAAAGAGACGUACCUAUUGAGCAGACUUCCGGAAGAGGUCAUUCCUCCGCUUCAUUUGGACUUUUUUGGCGCCAGACCUCUUGCUUCAAAACAGCUGCAUAGUUGGAAGUCGGUUCACAAUUUAAGAGGGUUUGAGUGAGGCCGAUGGAGCCUUUACCAUCUGGAGAAAUGUCAAUGUCUGUGUUACAAGAAAGGGAGGAAACCAGAUGCUACGACUGAUCUUCCUCAGACACUAAGCUGAAUCCUGCUUUCCUCCGAUUAAUCGAUGGGGCGGGCAGACGUGCACCUGCCUGUUGCCUAACACCUCGGACAUUCCCAAAGUUGUAUGGAACAGACGACAGCCGGAGUGAGGGGAAUGCUUUUGAAGGAUGAGUGCUGUGUGGAGUUCAGCUCAAAGUGAUGGAAACUCCUGCAGCACCCACUGUGCUGGGAGCCAAGAAAACAAAGCUAACUGAAAAUGGACCAAACCUACAGGGUGUCCCUGCGAGGGGCAACCGGUGAAUGCACUGGGCUGCGAACCAAAAUAGUGGAGGUUUGACACCUUGAAAGAAAGACUUCUGCUUCCCCAAACACAGCCGCUGAGCGCUCUGUGGGACACAGCUCUACACGGACACACACGCCUUCACCUUGAGCAAUGACUGGGGGUUUAUCCUGCUGGAAACCUAGCCCUUGGAGAAGACAGACAUCCAACUGAAACAGGAUGGUAUUGGUGACCGACUCCUGGGAUAAUGUGCUGAAAGUUCACUCCCCUUGCAGUUGGAGGGCAGACACAUGUUCUUUGUGUCUGGGAGGUUUGCAAGGAGGACCCACCCCCUCCCCAGCCUGGGAGAUCAUGAUGGCCUCUUAGUGCCAUGAAGUCUUUGCAAGCAGGACUAUUGCGCCAGCAGAGCUGUCCGAAAGUUAUUGCAUCCCAAACCCAGCGCAACCCCAAACCACUGCCAUCAAGUUGACACUUCUAGGACAGAGUAGAAGUGUCCCUUUGGAUUCCCAAGACUGUCCCAAGGAGCAGACAGUCUCAUCUUUCUUCCAUGGCUGGUGAUUAUGAGCUGCUUCCAAAAAGAACCCGACAAA